AAAAUGAAUCAAAACUUUCAACAACGGAUCUCUUGGUUCUGGCAUCGAUGAAGAACGCAGCGAAAUGCGAUAAGUAAUGUGAAUUGCAGAAUUCAGUGAAUCAUCGAAUCUUUGAACGCACAUUGCGCCCGCCAGUAUUCUGGCGGGCAUGCCUGUCCGAGCGUCAUUUCAACCCUCGAACCCCUCCGGGGGGUAGGCGUUGGGGAUCGGCCCUCCCUUAGCGGGUGGCCGUCUCCGAAAUACAGUGGCGGUCUCGCCGCAGCCUCUCCUGCGCAGUAGUUUGCACACUCUCAUCGGGAGCGCGGCGCGUCCACAGCCGUUAAACACCC
rnacentral:rRNA from 1 species